rnacentral:rRNA from 1 species
CCGUCUUGAAACACGGACCAAGGAGUCUAACAUGUGCGCGAGUCAUUGGGUCAGACUAAACCUAAAGGCGCAAUGAAAGUGAAGACAGCCUCGGGUUUGUCUAGGUAGGAUCCUCUUCCAAGAGGAGGCGCACUACCGGCCCGUCUCGUCCGCGUUGCGGUGAGGCGGAGCGAGAGCGUACACGUUGGGACCCGAAAG